rnacentral:rRNA from 1 species
GUGGGGAAUCUUCCGCAAUGGACGAAAGUCUGACGGAGCAACGCCGCGUGAGUGAAGAAGGUUUUCGGAUCGUAAAGCUCUUUCGUUAGGGACGAACGUGCUCUUUGUGAAUAAUGAGGAGUAAUGACGGUACCUAAAUAAGAAGCCACGGCUAACUACGUGCCAGCAGCCGCGGUAAUACGUAGGUGACAAGCGUUGUCCGGAAUUAUUGGGCGUAAAGCGCGCGCAGGCGGGAUAUCAAGUCUGUCUUAAAAGUGCGAGGCUCAACCUCGUGAGGGGACAGAAACUGGUAUUCUUGAGUGUCGGAGAGGAAAGUGGAAUUCCAAGUGUAGCGGUGAAAUGCGUAGAGAUUUGGAAGAACACCAGUGGCGAAGGCGACUUUCUGGACGAUGUCUGACGCUGAGGCGCGAAAGCUAGGGGAGCGAACGGGAUUAGAAACCCGAGUAGUCC